UCAUUUUCUCCUACCUUGUCU
rnacentral:siRNA from 1 species